rnacentral:rRNA from 1 species
GAUGAACGCUAGCGGCAGGCUUAACACAUGCAAGUCGAGGGGCAGCACGAUGUAGCAAUACAUUGGUGGCGACCGGCGCACGGGUGCGUAACACGGUAUGGAACUUGCCCUUUACUGGAGGAUAGCCCGGAGAAAUCCGGAUUAAUACUCCAUAACAGUCGAGGUGGCAUCACCGUUGGCUUGAAAGCUCCGGCGGUAAAGGAUGGCCAUGCGCACGAUUAGCUAGUUGGUGAGGUAACGGCUCACCAAGGCUACGAUCGUUAGGGGGCCU